AUCUCUUUGAAAUUUGCUUAGAUCAAGUGUAGUAUCUGUUCUAUCCACGUGUGACUAUGUGGAUCCUUUCGGUCGAAAGGGUUUUUUUGGUUACGGAAUUUUUUGUUGCGUCUGUUGCGAACACGUGCCUGUUACGUGCGAGUGAUGGAGGUGUCCCUGGUAUUACACUGCUUCUGGGCGAUGCUGAUGACUU
rfam:Botryotinia fuckeliana BcDW1 unplaced genomic scaffold Scaffold_343, whole genome shotgun sequence.